GAUGAACGCUGGCGGCGUGCCUAAUACAUGCAAGUCGAGCGAACAGACGAGGAGCUUGCUCCUCUGACGUUAGCGGCGGACGGGUGAGUAACACGUGGAUAACCUACCUAUAAGACUGGGAUAACUUCGGGAAACCGGAGCUAAUACCGGAUAAUAUAUUGAACCGCAUGGUUCAAUAGUGAAGGACGGUUUUGCUGUCACUUAUAGAUGGAUCCGCGCCGCAUUAGCUAGUUGGUAAGGUAACGGCUUACCAAGGCAACGAUGCGUAGCCGACCUGAGAGGGUGAUCGGCCACAAUGGAACUGAGACACGGUCCAGACUCCUACGGGAGGCAGCAGUAGGGAAUCUUCCGCAAUGGGCGAAAGCCUGACGGAGCAACGCCGCGUGAGUGAUGAAGGUCUUCGGAUCGUAAAACUCUGUUAUUAGGGAAGAACAAAUGUGUAAGUAACUAUGCACGUCUUGACGGUACCUAAUCAGAAAGCCACGGCUAACUACGUG
rnacentral:rRNA from 1 species